AAUCACUGAGCAUAAAUAUAAUACUUCCAAGUCGUCAACACAAAACAUAGUUUGGCAUAUUAACAUGUCCAUUACAUUAUACCAGUUGCCCUACCAAGUUGGUACAACAAUAAGUUAAAAAAUAACAUCAACCUAAACAAAGCACCAGCAACGCAAAAUGAAAUGUCAGAGAAAUGUAUAUUGAUAGGCAAUUUUCAUGACCCGAGCUGGGGCCCUGGCCGUGACGGGGAUCUCAAACCAUGAAGGCCCGAGAGCCCUUCUUAACUUGAAAUCAUAUACACCAUUCAUUUACAAAGAGGAACUGCAGAAAUACAAAACAAAACGAAAUUAUGGUCGAUAUCAUAAUUCAAUUGAACAAUCUCGAAUGGAAAACAUAAACCUCUAAAUAACGUCUAACAUCAGUCUGCGAAAUCUCUAACAACUGAAAAUGACAUUUGUCUGAAAUCUGGGAUAAGCCCUCAGUCGGACCAUGAAUCAAAAUAAAAUAACAAUAACAAGUUCUAAUACAGGCCUUCCAAAGUAAGGGAGGCUCACCAAUUGAAACUUCUGACGCACUCAAACCUAUUUCUGAACUGGACCCCGAGACUGUGCCUCAAAUCCUGAGAUUGAGGGAGGGUCAAUAUAGAUGUACUGGCAAGAAAUAAUUUAAAACACAUGGGCAGCUUAAAAUAAUCGUUCAAUGCAAAUCUGAAGAUGUAUAACCAUUCUUUAUUCUUUUUUACUUAUGAGGUAAGUGGUACACCCUACAUAUCUGAAAGUUUUCCACAGUCAAUAUGGGAUCCGCCAUUAACUUGACGGUCAAGCCCCCAACCCAAGUUUGCCGCAAUGGUUGAAGUAUCUGAAUCAGAUACGCCCCAGGGCACUAGGCCAGCGUAUAAUAAUAUACCCAUAUUGGCAAAACAUGGUUUCGAGCAAUGAAUCAUAUGACUCGUGCCUUCUUCGGGUAACCACCUAGCUCUCUUAGUGCCCAAUUUUUAACCCAUUCUAAACAUGCAUCCUUUUGAAUUCAAAAUCCGAAAUCUAAAAUAAAAUCUGUAUCCUGUUCUGAGUUUUAUCAUGACUUUAUCUGAUUUGGUAUCGGCAUAACAAGAAUUGUAAGUCAUAAUUCUGAGCCAUAAAAUAUCCUUUACAGUUUUCUCUUUCAAAAUACAAAGGUUAGACCACCAUACUUCAAACAAUUCCAAAAGAUUCAUUCUUCCAAAACAUUUAUCAAAUUACGCAAAGGUCAUUCUUUUUAAUCAUUUCAACAAACAUGUGGUGGUCAUGAGUUUCAACAACCCAUGGAAUUUUUUUCAUAUAUAUAUAUAUAUAUUCAGCACUUACCAACAUGUAAAACCCUAUCUCAUCAAUUCAAAAAUCAUAAUCAAGUCCUAAACAAAGUCAAGGCUUUUAUAUAAAAUUAUAUUUUCAAUAUCACAUUUCGAACACAUCAUAUCUUACGAAGUUAAAAGACUUGUAAAUAAGAGGGAUUUCAAAUAGUUCAUGCUCUCAAUUCAUAAUUCAAACUCAUCAAACUCUACAUCUAUCUACUUAAACAUGGUUAUAAAUCAGAUUUGGGGGAAAGGCCUCAAGACCAAAUUAAUAUCAUCAAAAACUUUAAAAGCAUGAAUCUAAUUAUAAAUCCAAAACCCUUUUUUUUUUUUUUUUUGUAAAUUCAUAAUUUCUAAACCUUUAACAUGAUUAAUAAGAAUUUACCAUGCCCAUGUAGAUUUAGGAAAAUCCUACAUACCUUAGAUUACAAGGUUUGAAGAGUAGAACUCGAAUCUUGAUUUGUUCCUUGAAAAUCUUAGACUUAUGAGAUUGAUUCUUGAUCUUGAAAGAAAGCGUAGUUUUCAUUUUACUCUUGAGAGAGGAGAGGAAUUGAGAGAUUAAAAA
rnacentral:lncRNA from 1 species